ACAUGGCCAAUUUGCUAUGAUUUAUUUGUCAAACCUAUUCAACCACUUGUCGAAUCAAG
ensembl:ncRNA H08J11.8 ncRNA